CUCCUGCUGAAGCUGAACUGCUGGCAGCGGCGGCUCCGCUACGAGUCCCCGCCCUGGGGGACAAGCAGGGAGCGGAGAUAAAAAUAACCCGGGGCAAAACGGGAGCCCGGCCCGCGCAGGCACCGCUGGGAUUCGAACCCAGGAUCUCCUGUUUACUAGACAGGCGCUUUAACCAACUAAGCCACGGCGCCGGCUACUCCUUUGGGCGGCGAGGCGGCCCCAUCCAUGGCUCGGCAGCCACUCUCCGCACACAAAGGGAGUUCCAAAGUGGGAACCCAAGUACAAGGAGGGCACCUGGUAACACUAUACACCAGUUGAAUUAAAAGGCAACAUUGAAGGGUGAGCUAUGGAUGCCUUCAAAUAAACAGCACUGUAUGUCUCUCUCUACAUGUAAUGAAACUAUAUGGUGAUUUGAAACUAACUAAACAUAAUCAAUGGAAAAGUUUAAUCAAUUCUACAAUGAACUCCAAUUUUGAGAACAGGGGGUGCACCUCAAGAAAGAAUCUCAAAGUUCCAGAACAUGACAGGACUUUAGUAAUUCAUGCAAUCCACAAUGGGGAAGGGAUUACAAGCAUCUCUGCAGGAAACAGUGCUACAUCCAUUGCAAUUUAAAAGAAGGAUUAGUAAAAUGCUCCAGAUCUGAGUCUCCCAUUCUAAGUAAAUUCCUAAUCCUUUUAAGGGCAACUUUAAUAGUACCUUUUUAUCCAGACAAUUUAUGAUUAAUGCAUUUAUGA